rnacentral:tRNA from 1 species
GUGGAUUAGUGGCUAGACCGGUAGGUCAAUACUUAAUAAUUAUAAAAUAUUUUUUAAAGGAUAAAGUUUUGUUAAAUAUUCAACUCAUUUUAAUUAAAAUAAUUACUCUAAUUUUUUAAAAAUAUUUCUAACAAAUUAUAAAUGAUUUACAGAUACAUAUUUAUUGAAAAUAUAUAACAAUAAUUAAUUAAUCUCUAGUAGUUACAUUGUAUUCACUUUACCUAGAGGUCCAAGGUUCAAAUCUUUGAAGAGCA